rnacentral:misc_RNA from 1 species
CAAAAAACAAUCAAAGAAUCAGAGACCGCCGUUUCGCAAUCUCCAUCCGUCGUUCUUCUGCGGUGAUCCGGUAUUUGGCAUUGGCGUCUCAGCCCCUCCACUCCGGGCACUGGUCGGCCGGCCGCGUGUUCUGCGACCUGGCCUUGAUCGGGCACGGCGCGUACACCGGCGGCACCAUGCAGUUGUACAUCAGGCAGAGCGACACCGUGGAAGGGAGCGACGACGACGGCGAUAUCUCGAUGCCCGUCAGGAAGUUGUGCUGCAGGUACAGCACCUGCAGGCCGCCGGAGCCCACCAGCUCCUGCACCAGCCGCGCGGGGACCUCGCCGCUGAACCGGUUGUUGUUCAGGUACAGCUGCCCGACGCCCGCGAGGAGCGGCGACAGCUGGCCCCAGAACCGGUUGUAGCUCAGGUCCACCACUGGGAUCGUCACGUCGCCCGACGGCUGCACCGGCCCCGCGAAGAAGUUCCUCUGCAGCUGCAGCACGGACAGCGGCAGCGCGAACACCGACGCCGGGAUCGGGCCCUCCAGCUGGUUCACGCUCAGGUCCAGGAAGUUCAGCCGGGCCAGCCGGGGCAGCACCUGGUCCACCGUGCCGCUGAGCUUGUUCGCGGACAGCGACAGGUACUGCAGCCCGGCCGGCAGGGCGGGCACGCCGCCGGAGAGCGCAUUGUGCUUGAGGUCCAGCCGGAGCAGCGGGGACGAGUCCGGGAACGACGGGACGCCGCCGGUGAGCUGGUUGUGGCAGAGGAUGAGGUUGGUGAUCGACGGCAGCGCGGCGACGGACGGCGGGAUGGCGCCGGAGAUCUGGUUGAAGCUCACGUCCAGCGUCCGGAGGUUGGACAGCGCGCUGAGCCCGUCCGGUAUCUGGCCGGAGAGGAGGUUCUUGCUGACCGCCAGGAAGCGCAGGUUCGAGCACGACGCGAGCGACGCCGGGAGCUCCCCCUCGACGCG